UCAAGAAGAAAUUAGUUAUUUAGGGAAGUUUAGGGACUGGAAACACCCUGGAAAUGGGCAAUGUCAACAUAAUGCUGAUCAUGCUGUAGGAUGCUGAAGAAUAGGGAUUAAAAUAAACAAGCAACAGAGAAUAAACAAUAAAACUUAAGCAGAUAAGGAAUAUACUACUGUUUGAUUCUUCAAAUAAUGUGUAGAAAGGUAGAAUUGUGGAUGGGUUGGGAAUUAGGCUGCUCAAGGCUAGUUAAAAAGAGAGAGGAAGCCAUAAACUGGCUACCAGCCCUUCUUGUCAGACAGUCUCAUAGGAAACUCCACACUGGGCAUUGUUCUUAGCACAAAACUUCAGUUAGAUUUUUGCAAACUUAUUUCUACCUUGUUCUGUGAAUGCCUAUAUUACGUUACAAUUAUAAGUCAUAUGAUUAUUGUCACAGAACACACAAUAUACUCUAAUUUCUACCAAAGGAAAUGGAUACAAAAAUUACAAAGCCAGAUACAGACUGAUUUUCAGGUAGCUAACAGAGCCAGUUCAUUUGGCUCAGAUUUCCAACACUUUGCCUGGCUUCAUGGAGAAUCUUCUAGAUUAGCCUCACUGUUCCUGAGUAAGCAGACUUACUCUGUUAGCAUAGUAUCUUCCAGCCAUGUUAAGAAGACAUCCCUCUCAUAUUCUAAGAAACAGCUAAUAAUUUGAACUAUAAGGGCCCUGAUUAUCUCGUAUCCAACAUACAGAAAAUCAGCUAAGCAAUCACCGAAGUUUUAGCCUCUGUGAACACUUAGUGCAAGAAUUUUACCAAGACAUAAAAUGAAAAUUGAUAAUCAUCUUCAAAGAAUAUGUGUUCCUUUACUUCAGUUGAAGGAAUCUUGUCAAGGCUGAUAAUUGGCUACUGUUGGGACUAUUUUCCAGAGUUCUUCUUCUCUUCCUUUUACAAAGUACCCUCAGGCAUUUUCAGAAAUGUCUAAAUCUCUUUCUAUUGAGAUUCAGGAACAGCCUUUGUGCUUCAGUGUCUAUUCCUUCCCAACUUAUUCUGAGUUAACUUAUUUGAAAUUAAAAAGAAGACAAGAUUGUCUGAAUCCCUCGGUGGUGAUUCUGACCCGGUUCCUUAUAUUAAUCUUAUUUUUUAUAUGUUACAGGUCCUAUAAUGACCACCAGUACUGCAAGAGCUCUACACAGGAUUCUCAGGAGAGGUUGUAACAAAUGCAGGCCUGUUGCUUCAUUUAACAAAAGCUGUGAAGGAGAAAACAAACGACCGGUUAUGAGGAGUGGGAUGAGGAUGAAGAAAGCAAUGGCUCUAGAGAAGGCUCCCGAGAACUGAUGCCUGAGUGAAUGCUAAAACCCAGUGAACUAGACGAUGGUUGUGAAACAUCUAGACAGAGCUUUCUAAAGUUUGUGAAACUCUGUGGCAGAGACCAAGAAGCUCAAAGGAGAGCUGGCUGCUAACACUGUGUAAUUACUUAAGCAUUUAAGAUUUCCUACAAACUGUGUGCAAGGAGGAAGAAGAAACCAAACAAGAACAAACUCCCAGAAAAGAGAAGUGGUAGAAAGCAAACACGUAAAUAGCCUAUAAAAGAUUCUAAAAGUGACAGCUCAGAUAGCUAAGAGUUCCUGUUAUUCAUAUACAUUUGAAAAUAUUCUACUGUCAAAUCCUCAAUAAGAAUUCAAUAAUGUAUAUGCCAAGAGCUUAAAGGCUUAUAGUCAAUAACACAGCAGUGAAUCAGAGGUCUUUUAAUGUAAAAUUUAGACACUGGGUUAUUAAAAAUCAAGGGUCAUGAUAGAAUGUGGGAAAAUAUUCUUAUGGGACAGAAGCAGUGUUUAUUCUUGGGUUUUGUGGUUACUUAGAAUCAUUUUCUUUCAGUUCAACUAUAAGCUACAGUAAAUAUUUAUAAUUUUUCAUUGAAUUUUCAGCUUAUCAUCUUGCUUGGUUUAAACUUUGAUACUAUUUGUCAAUAACUUAACAGAUAGAAAAAUUGUAUUUCAGUCUUUGAAUUUUGAUUUUCCUGUAUAUGCUUGAAAGGAGUGUCAUAACAUUUAAUGAUCACAGUUUACAAAUUUAGCAAAUAGCAAAUCUCUCUAAGCAUCAGAAAGUAGAGACAAAGAAGACAAAAAUCUUAGUCUAAGCAUAUGUUUCAGAUGAUGUUAAAAUGCAGAAUUAUAUCCAUAUCAAGGUAAAAUACAAAAUACUACUAUAUUAUCUCUAAAACGUUUCCAUUCCUAAAUUUCCCAUUGUCCUCUUAAAAGUUAUUGAAACCUAUGUCAAGUGUAUAUAAAAAUAAAAUGUAUUUUGUCCAAAAUAAUUACUACCUGCCUUGUACUGGCAUGGGUGAGAAAGAGAUGUCCCCACCCCCACCCUGCCUAUGGCACUCAGGACAGCUAGUCCCAAUAUCAUGAAAGCAAGAGAGCUGAUCAGUCCCUGCCUCUCUGUCUGCCUGCAGUAGUUGGGAGAGUGGUUCCUGCACCUUUCCUGGGAAAGAUAGUAGAGCUGGCCCUGCUGGCUGGCUGGGUGUUGCCCAAGGGCAUGAGAACUAAAGAGCUGGCCCUGACUCCUUGCUGGCUUUCAUAUUGGGUGAGCUGGCUGGGGCGAUGCUGAAGAUCUCACACUAGUGGUGAGGGUGCAGAAGAGCUGACCACCUGACCAACUCAGGUUCAACUCAGGCUCAGAUCCAGGGCUUUGAGUUGGCCCAUCCCAACAUCUAUCCCACUUAUGAACUGCAGGAGCAGGGGAAGGAGCUGGCCCUAGAGAUCCAAAGCUGCAGGAUCUCCAUGAUAUGGGCAACAACAGGACAUCCAAGAAGAGUCCCGGUAAAGAUUCAGUAUUGAUAGUAUAGCAGAAACGAGAGGCCUUGAAGCAUACCAAUAACUUAUUGCAAUGAACAUUUGCAAGUACAGAUGAGUGAACAAAUGGCACACUGUGUGACACACUGUGACACACUACAGGUUUCAUGGUGAGACAGAGUAGUUGGGAUGUUUCUUUCUUUUUCUUUUCUUUUGUGUGAAGUUGUGAGGGUGGAGGGCAGACAUGGGGGAGCAGGGAGAUGAGUUGGGUUGGGCUGCAUGAUGAGAAAUCCACAAAGAACCAAGAGAAAGUUUUGAAAAAUCAACUUCAUAAGGAAAGAAAUGUUCAGUGUGUAUUUUAUCUUAACUCUAGUUCGUAAAAAGAGACAAUAAAUUAAAGUAUAUGCUACAGAAUAGUGUUUAUAAAGAUGAAGGCAGUUGCAUAUUAUCACCUGACUUAGAAGUGUAUAAAAUAUACUUAGCUCCAUUAUAUACACCUAAGAUACAUUUAAUUGUUUCCCCUGUGAUUUCACAUCCUGUCAUUACUAAAUGGCGAUAACUUCUUUCAGAGGUGAUUUAAUGAGGAUGCUUAUCAUUAGGAGAAGUACAUGGAAGCCCUCACUCUUUGAACCCUGACUUACUAACAUAUGAACUUUGAGAAAGUUGAUGAGAUGAAAUACAUUCUGUGUCUGUUGCUUAGAGCAAUCAACGGAUCAAAACAUUGAUUUUAUAAAGUGGAUUUGAAAACAUUAAACAAAAUGCUGAGGUAGAUGGUUUUAUUUACUUUCGCUUCUCCUAAAACAAUGUUUCCACACCAGAUAAAAGUAAGGAGCAUUAGAAUUUCAUAGAUGGGGCAGUAUAUGUAAUUAUUCUUCACAAAGGCCAACUUUGAAAGCAAUGAAAAGUGAAAUAGUGACUAAUAUCAGAAUACAUUUGAAUAGGAAAAAAGUCUCCAAAAGUCAGUGUUCCAGAUCAGACUGUCAGUCCAAGGUCACAGAGGAUUUCACUUUGUGGCAAACAGGUUCCAAAGUUCCCGAGCUUCUGCAUAGUGAAAUAACACAUGCAUACCUAUAUAGACACAGCGCUCUCAUUGCAACUGUGUACCUACAGUUUGUUACGUCUGAUAAACAGGAAAAUUCAUAGAGGGAUGAAGCCUUUUGCAAGAUAUAUGUAACAGUAUGGCCUGGUUUUCAUGACUGAAAAAUUUACAAAUUAUGGUGCCACAGCAAAGGAGCCUUAUAAUCUCAACUACAUAUACAUUUGUUUAUAAUAAACACUUACUUAUGAAAGUAUAGAAGACUAGAAACACUGUAUUAUGUGCCCAAUAGUUAGAUUAGGAUAGAAGUAGUUAGAGUGGAAACACAAAUAUGCCCUUAUGCUAAAUGCAAAGGGUAUCAAUAUCAGAUGGAGAUAUUGUCGGUUUUAGGACAAGAAGGAUUGUUAAAGUUAAAUAACCAAGCAGCUGCUUAAGGUAAGUGAAAUGUAUUUUGUUCCUAAAACUAGAUAAAAUUUCUCAUGUGUCUCAUGUUGAGGGAGAGACAGAAAGCUCAAAUACAAUUCUACAAAUCUCAAGGUAAGCAAUCUAUUUCCUUGAACUAGCAUUUUCUUCUGUUAGAGGUUUUAAAACACUGAGAUACACUUUGUAAAUAGACUUCUAGAAUGGCAAUGAGAAAGUACUUUUCCAUUCGUGACUUUUUUAGAAUUUCAUGGUUCAUAAAAAUCACUCUUCUCCCAUGGAAGCUAAUGUGGUUGUCUUUACGCAUGCGCGCGUGCACACACACACACACACACACACACACACCCCAAAGUUCAAAGUCUCUUUUAAAAUACUGGGCACAUAGUAUCUUUGGAAGUCAUUAUGUAGAAAGAUGAGAAAUUAUCAAUACAUGUGAAAACCAGAACAGGAUUACGUGUGAAUUAGUAACUGAGCAUCACAGGCCCAGCUAAGGUGAGUAUAGUAUAGUUCUAGUUUUCCCAGAGUUAAAGGUUUCAUUUUUAAUCUAUUUCAGACACAACUCAGAAUGUUUAUGGCUGACAGCCAUUUUUUGAUUCCAUGGAGGCAAAGACUACACAGGAUGCUUCUAUGAGGAAGAACAGCAUAACACAGUUAGAUACCCAAUCCUGUUCUGAAGUCCAGAACAGCUUCAUCCUGUUGCCUUCUCAUCACAGAAGCAGUCAUACUGCAGCAGUGACAGGCACCUUGCUGCUCCAAGGAGAGCUCUUCAGAAGAACGGCAGCCUCCAGCACUGAUAGGGAAAGGGGCGGGGGGGGGGAGCAGCUAUAAAGUGAUGGCUCUUCAAGGAAAUAAAUGUUAUGUGCUUAUUCACAUCUGCUUGACCUAGAAAUACUUCAACUCAAAAGGUUUAGAAAAUGCCCUCAGAAAGCCGUAUUAAGUAUCGAUCUCUCGUGAAUAUAUAAGAAAAGCCUUUCUCAAGCAAUACACUGCUAUGCUUUUAGGAGUUUAUACAUAAAUGUCUUUUUCACAAAAUUAGAAAAAAAUAUAAAAAACUAUGUCAAAGCUUAAAAACAAAUUUAUUUUAUAGGCAUGUAUUUUAAUUUAGUUAAAUAUCAGGAAUUUCCAUUGGUGUCUUUAGCCUCAUUAAAUCAUCUAAUGAUCUUCUCAGAAUUCUGCUUUGUCAUGAUAAUUCAUAUUUGUAUAUGUGUGUACUAAUUUUUAAAACAGAGACUGAAUGUACAAAAAUCCAAAAUAGAAUACCCUUGUUAUGAUUCAAGUUUAAUUUACACUUUUUAACAAAAUCAAAAUUCAUACUAACCUGAAAAGUAAAAUAGUGGAGAAAAUAUUCAAAAUAAUUAUAUAAGAUUUAACUUUUCAGAGUUGUGUAAGGUUAUAAAACUAUUAUGUUCACUUUAUUAGCCAUCUAUCACAUUAAAAGGAACUUCUUUGAGAUAAACACUCAUGUAGCCUGGUUGGCAUCAAGUUCACUGUAAAGUUGAAGGUGACUUGAAGUCCUGAUUCCCUCCAUUCACCUUCCAGUUCCUUGUAUUAUUAACAUGUGAGCCAACCUAGGCUUCCAUCCUUACUAUUGGGUUUAUUACCAAAUAUCAACCUAAAGUAAGUUAGCCCAGAUAUUAGGGAUGAACACAAUGGGUUGUUAUUGCUGUUGCUGUUGUUGUUAUUGUUGUUGUUGUUGUUGUUGUUAUUGUUUAAGGCAUGCAAAGUGAAGAGCUAUUCUCAAUGAAGAAGAAACACAGUGAUUGCAGUUCAAAUGUCACUGAUCAUACUCAAGAAAGUUAGAGUAGUCUUUUCUUCCAUGAGACAUGCCUUCCAGAUAUCUCCAAGCUUUAAACUAUGUACGGUAGCACAGAAUGUGGAAAUAGCAGACAGAGAAUUGAGUGGUUAUUUCAUAUUUUUAAAUUAACCUUUUGAUUUUUCUGAGCUACAAUUUAGACUCACCAAAUGAAAAUAUAAUAUUGAUCACAUAACCCGGCUUGAUGUUCAGAAGAGAAAUAUUUGCAGGAUGAAAACAGCUGUGUUAAAUGUAUCAGUUUGAAAAUUAUUUUCUUUGAAGAAGAUAUAAACCUGCCAUUUUCCAAAAGAGCAGGUAGCCAGAGAUCAGAGAAUUAAGAGAGCAUAUGACCAUGAGGUUUCUUACACUUUUUCAUCUUACAGUCCUAGACAGUGUCUCUGGUGAACUCUAAGCUUAGAGCAAGCAGAAUUAAUAAUAUCCCUAACCAGAGGUACUUUCAAUGAAUAGGUUAAAUAGUGGGAUUAUUUUCAAUGUAUCUUUAAAGAAAAUAUUCAACCCAUUUUUUAACCUAAAGUAUGUUAAAAAUGAUUACAACAAAACACUACAAUGAAAUCCAAUUCCCAGCCCAAGGAUUUGCUACCCUGCAAAACCUGAGAACUGGGAGCUAUGCCCACACAGCUACCUCUCAUGCCUUGCUGAGCCAGGAUUUGAACUAUAUCUGAUUGUAUACACAAUCCAUGCAACUAAUACCAUGAAAGAAAUCCACAUGAAAGCUCCCAAGGUUGUUAGAUGGAUAUAGGGUGGUCGGUGCCUUUGCAUAUCUCUGGCUUCUAAUAUGUUGGUGGGGAUCGAAUGUUUCAAUUAAUAGCUAAGUCUAAACUUUAGCUUCUCUUCCUCUGAUAGGCAUUGCCAUUGAAAUAAGAGUCUUUGGAAGUACAUACAGAAAUAUUGUAUUUUUAAAGUUUUGGGGGUUUAUUUUUUUUUUAUAUUUCAUCUUGGCUUAGGAGCACUCUAUGAUACCUUUUUAAAGGCACAACGUAUGACCAUAGAUUAUAAUAUUUUUUACAGCCAACCUAAAAAUAACUUAUCUAUAUCUAUAUCAAGACAACUCCCAAGACAUAUGAUACAAGUUUUUAAUACUUAGAAUCCGAAGGAGUAUGGUGAUGUUUGAGAGACUCCUCAUCCCUGAAAGUGCUCAUUCUCUGGUUAGCUUAGAAUCCUCUACUCGGUUUUAUUUAAAAUAUGAGAUUUCCCAUAAUUUUCACUUUCACAAACGAAAAAGACUUAGCCAAAGAAAAAAAUAUAUAUGCUAGUAAAACUUCCAUAUUAAAAUCUACAUUCUUUUAAUGAGGUAACUUUGAUUAUCAAAGUUUUAAAAGCUAAGAAUCACAGAGCACGGGCAAUGUUCAACUAUUAAUCUUACAGCAUUUGAUUGUGUUAGGUGAGCAUUUGCUCACCUAGUAAAUCAAAAGUUAAAGUGCAUGUUCUCAAAAAAUCCAGAGAUCUGAACCAAAGCAAAUGGUCAUUUCCUUAAGUACCUUAAAGCUGUAUGUCUGCUGAGUUGCAUUUUACCUGAAAUCCCAAUCUGUAUGAGAAAUAAAUUACUAAAUAUCCUACAAAAAGAAUGUCCCAAAAGAUGCGCACUGAUUUAUCAUCUUACAACAUUAAGCCAUCUUGCAGAGCUGUGAUUUUGAGCUUAUAAAUCUUGAAAUAUCCUUUUUACUGCAACUUCAACAUUUGAUGUAUCUUCAGUUGGUAAAGUCUGGAGAUCAGCAAAGUUGUAAUAGCCAGUAGGAGCUUUGAAUCCGAACUUACUAAUGACAGCAAUUGACUGAAGAUCCUCAAAUGUAUCUAUACAAGUCUUCUCACAAUAGCAAUCUUGUCCUAGUGCUCUUUCCAUACAUAUUAAAUAUAUCUCUUUGUUCAACUAUAAAUAAUGCCUCCCCUCUAUCACUUAAAGUUUACUUCACUUCAAUUAACUGCAUUUCCGGAUUUAAAAAAGAUCUAUAUUCUAUUCCUCGGGACUCACAAGGCAAAACUGGUCCCAACACGUUGGCCUCUGACCUCCACCUGUGCACCCCUGCAGUUCACACAUCUACACACACAGAAUAAAGCAAACACACAACAAAUUAUGUAGUGACAAAAACUCAAAGAAAAAAAUGGUAAUUCCUAUACAUGCAUUGAUAGGAGAAUUUUACUCUUCAAUAACUUAGCCACUUCCUGGAAUACCCUUUACCUAUCCUUCCUCAGAAAAUUUAUUUUUGAGCUGAUUAUAUAUAUAUAUUACAUACUUCAUGAGGCUUUGAUGUAUGCUUACAUUGUAAAGUGACUAAGACAUAACUAAUAUAAAAUUACAUACUGUAACAUAUUUUACAAAAUAUAAAUGUAAGUUUCAAAUGUCUCACCACACAAAAUAUGAGGUAAGAAACAUGGAAGUUAGCUCUGUAUUGAAAACAUAAUCUUAAAACAUCCUGUUGUUUCCCUUAAAGGCACACAGUGCUCAUUUACUAAUUAAAAGUCAAGUGAAAUUACUAUUAAAUCUCUGCAUAGUUCCUGCUAUCAAAAAAGUUCAAACUGGACACACCUGGCGAGAAACUAUAACUCCUAUAGAUGUUAUGUCAAAUAGCCACUGUUCACAUAUAUGUUUCCUUAUUCUUAACCAAAAAGUGUCAAUAUAAAAAGCAGGUUGCUAAAAAUAUGGCAUGUGUUGGAGAGUACUAUUUUUCACUAUGGAAUGACUAACAUAAAAACUACCACCUACUUGCACUCUUGCAAAGCCUCCUACACUGCACCAAGCUCCACUUUCCUGGGCUGAGUGUCUUAUUGAUGAAACAAAAAAAAUCAUUUUUAGAAUGCCUCUAAGUGCCAAAACUCUUAUUUGAUUGAAUUGUAGACAAAUGUACUAUGGUAUGUGUUAUAGACUUCUUCAUUUUGGAAUAAAUCACUUGUUUAAAUAUAUGCAAGCUUUUGCUGGGUAAUCAUUUCUUUCUCAUACAGUACUUUCCUAAUGACCUAAUUGUAUCAUUCUGGGAGGGUUUUGCCUUGCCUAUAUAGGUCAAGUUUCAAGUUCUUAGCUGACAAAAUUGUGUUCAAUUUAAAGAGAUAACAUUAAGCAACUGCAGCCUGUGUUUAUCACAUUUACUUCAACAAUUAAAUUACCCGUAUUAAAAAGUUGGUUUAUGCAUAGCAGGAUAAACUGGUUUACCAUUUUGUCUUUAAAAAGGAAUUUUAAAAAUAGAAUCACAUUUUAAUGCUAUUCCAGUAGUAGGAAAUAUUUUUAACUUCUAACCAGUUUUUUCUUUAAAGAAAACUUGAAAACAAAUAAGUAAGAGCUUACUCUAAAUAUAAUAUUAAAUGUACUAUAUACUCUUGGAGGUUUUCAUGUUGCUUAUACACAUGCAAAUUUAGAUUAUCCAAGAAUAAAUUAUUUGCAUUUAAAAGCAUACCUUUCUACAUACCAAUACAGGAAAACAGAACCUGUUCUAAGACUCAAUGUGCUCAUAAUCUUAACCAUAAUUUAUUCAUGCUCAGCGUUUCGUAAUCAUAAACUAUCCCUAUAGAGAACAUAUUUUAAAGUGGCCACUCUGGGCAUCAAUUGUAGUUUUGUUCUAUGAUGUAAGGUCAGUUGUUUCAAAGGGAGAAAGGGAAACGGCUCAAUACAAGCCGGAGUUAAUACUCACAUAUCAAAUCGUCAGAGGCACUCAGUGCCCUGCACCUAGAGCUAUUCCAGGGCUGAGGAUACUCUUUCUAAUAUCAAUAUUCAUUAACUCCCACAUCUCCAAAACAGCAACCCAUAUUCUGGGUUGUUUGAUGUUGUCUCUUCUCUAAAACAAACACAGAGGCAAAAUCCAGAGCAAAGUUUAUACAUUCAAACAGAAACAGAUCAAAGAGAAAAGAAGAGACCAACACUCUUUGACGGGGAACUGGGUCCCUUUUCACCACAGUUCUGGCUCAUCAGAAGCUUCUGUGUAGAACAGAAGAUGAAAAUAUCCUCGCCUUCAUUAGCAAGUUUCACACACAUAGCUGUAUCUCAAUUAUCCACCAAUAAUCGCUUAAUAUGCAUCUUGAUGCAUGUUGUAUUUGUGAUUGUGAUAGCAAUGAUUUCACAUCUAAUUAUCAAAAGCUAAGCUUUAGUAUUUCCAGUUGAUUCAUAAAGCAUAUUGACUGAACAACAUAUAGGAAAUACCAAUGCCACAUACUCGGCACAAAUAUAUACACAUACAUAAAUAUCCUUGUCAAAUGUCCUAAAGAGGAAACAGUUUACCCUGAAACAAAGAUGAAGACUAGCACAAUCUUCUAACAAUACUGAUGAUUUCAAACUGAGCUAGACUGGCUUACUAUAAUACUCUAUACAUUUGCUUAUUUAUCCAAAGCCUGGAAGUAAUUUCCAGGUCCUUCAAAGCAUCAUAAACACUAAAGUUUAUGUAGCUAUGCCUUAAUAAAAGUGCCAUUGGAAUGGAGGGGAAUAAUAAAUAUCAAAACAUCAAAUGAUACUGCCACAUAUAUGUCCUAAGAAUUUUUACUCCCAUUUGUCCACUGAUCACCAGGGAAGGUUGUCUAAUAUAAAGACAGCCUAGUUUUUGUUUUUUUUUUUAAUACAAGGAAACUUUUAUUUUCAGUUCUCAUCAAGAAAUUUGCUGUGGUUUUCUUUUUCUUUUUUUUUUUUUUCCAACUUUAUUUAGCUGCACAGUGGCUGGAGCCGCUGGGUUCCUGGUAUUAAAAAGAUGCCAACAGAGGUAGCUGUGUUUCGCCCAGGGACCCGGCCCACUCUGAAUACCCCACAAAAAGGAGAAAACACAAAGUAAACCAAAAAAAAGAACCAAAAAGAGGAAGAAAUUCAGAUCAUUUUCUUCGAGCCUGUCAGAACCCACAACAGUUUGUAACAGGCGCACGGUGGGGAGAAGCCAGGGUCCAGAAGGCAGCCAGCCCGCCAGCUCCUCCAUAGAAUAAUUUGCACCAGAGAAACCUAAGACGCUGCUAUAAGAAAGCCAUUCCUCCAUGUGAUGCCAUCACAGACCACAUGAUUUUCAGAGGUUAAGUACUCUAGAUAUGACAUCAACUAUUCCCUUAUAAGGCUUGACUACAUUGUCUCCCUCCCUUAUUAGCUCUGACUCUCACAGAAAUAUAACCUGAUUGAACUUUUCAGCAGUUUCCAUAGAACUUUUCUUCUAGCAUCCCUUCAUUUCUUCCCAGCCAUCCUCAAAAGUCUCUUUGCACCAAAGCCUUCUAGUCCUUUACCCGAGACUGCACAGUCGCAAGGUCUAGGACAUGGUGUCUGUAAGACCCACAGUGUAAUGUGUAGUAGCUUUAAGGUUAAGUUUGUGUCAUUGGCUAACACCAGACAAAAGUUUCCAUGGUGAACAUGUUGCUGCUGUUCAUGUAAACAGUGUUGUGUCUAUGUGCUCAGGAAUUCACAAGUAGAAACCUAAGGGGUGAGGGGUGGGUGUCAUGGGAAAUGAUGAACUCAUAUGUUUUCCUUCGAUUUCUUGUAUCAAAAUGUUCUUUGUGCCAUACACUAUUGUAAGGGGGAAAAAUUAGCAAUUACUUGGUUCUUCAUACUAAACAUCUCACAAUUCUGCAUUCUUUUCGUGUAAAGCCUACUCCCUCUCUCAAAUCAUGAGGGUGUUUGGGGACUGCAGCAAGUGAUCUUUUCAAGUCCAAGGCAAUGUGUCCUGUCUCGAUUCAAUAGAGAGGUAACAGGACAUUUCCAUCCAGGCCAAGGUCUAUUGACUGUGACCUUGGCCAAAGCACAAGACCUUGUUUGCCAACUUUAAACUGGAAUAUCAAAUCUGCUUCUUCCCCACUUCAUCUCCUCCAAGGAACACAGAAGCUUGGAUUGAAGUACUAUCUAUGGUGUAUUCAAACAGGCCCCACUCCCUGGGGCUAAAAGCACAGCCCAGUACCAGAGGGUUCUACAUACUUUUUCCUCUUGUGGCUUGGUAGCCACAAGGUGACAUGUGCACCCACUGGGGAUGGACAGGCUUAGGGACUCCAUCAGAGCAAGCUGCAGAGGAUUUCCCAUACCCUCUACUCACCUUCUUUUACAAACCCAUUUACCUGACUCUACUUAGCAAACCUCUAAUGGUCAAGUUUCCCCAGCAGGAAGAGAUGUCUUAAAAGUCCUCACCGGAACAAAGUCCUUACAUGUAGUAGAUCUCUAGUAACCCCCCUCCCACCCACCCACCCGAAGCAGAAUGGUUAUGUACCAAAUGACUGGAGGAGGAGUAGGGUGAAUAUGUAUGCAUAUUUAACACGCCAGCAUCUCCUCAUUUCAGCUUUAUCAUCUAAGAGUGAGCGGGACAUUUAAAUUAUUUUGCGAUUUUUUUUUUAAGUUCUUUCUUUUCAUAUCUGCCCUGCUGGUAGAGAUACCCACCAGGAGAGUGGCGAAUUCGUGGCCUGGGCGCUCUGAGGCCACUUCAGGACAGGAUUUUCCUUGUCCAAUUACACUAGGGCAGCAGGAGGCCUGUGAUUGGACAGGGGAAAGGGAGGCGGAGCUAAGCGGUGCAGGAACAGAGAGCAUUUCAGAAGGGACAGGAGGAAGGCAAAAUGGAGGCAGAUGCAAACCAGCCAGCCACAGGUGUCACCAGCUUCUGUCCAUUGGUUGGGUGCAAAUAUCUCCAUUUGACUCUUUCAGCUGUUUGUUUGGCCUUUUGGGGAGCAGUUAUAAUAGGCUCCUGUUUGUAAGGACAACAUGGUAUCAGUAAUAGAGCCACCAACCAGGCAGCAUACACCAACUGAUAUGAGGACCCCAACAAAUAUACAGAAGAAGACUGCUGGGUCUUUACUCAAUGAGAAAAGAAGCACCUAACCCUCAAGAGACCUGAGGCCCCAGGGAGUGAGGAGGUCUGUGGGUGGGGGGAGGGGACAUCCUCUUGGAGACAAGGGCCAGGGAUUGGGGGUGGAGGUAUGGAAUGUGGAACAAUCAGAGGGCAGACUAUGAGGAGGAUAAAGACUGGACUGCAAAAAAAAUAAAGAAAGAAAGAAUACAAAUAAAA